GGUUUUGAAGUAUAUAUUACGUUGAAUUGCAAAUUCAAAAAAGUAGCUUAAGUGCUGCCAAGGCCU
rnacentral:tRNA from 1 species